AGUAGGAACUGUGUGUAAUGCUUUUAAUAUCUAUUUCACCACAAUUAUCAGACUGUAAAAUGAUAGGAUUUCAAAAGCAUUUGAAAAAUAACCAAGCUAAUCAUACAGUACUUAUUCUUUCUCCAAGGGGCAUUGCUGAAAUUUCUUCAUCCCGCUCUACCAAGUGUUGUCUCUGGUGCUACUGAAGGGCCAUCAACAUCGUCUUCGUCACAUGUUUAUGAGGAGGAGCAAGUGGAAGACAACAUUGCGGCGUCCACACCACUUCCCAGCAGUGGUUCAACAGAAGCAGUGCCAUCAACUCCAUCACGACUUGAGGAGGAGCAAGUGGAAGCAUCCACACCACUUCCCAGCAGUGGUUCAACAGAAG